GUUUGUAGAUCUUACUUUACUGAACAUUCUUGCUGCAUACAAUUAUCCCUAUUUAUAAUGAUUGGCCCAUUAGUUUCAGUGGAAAAUGACAAAUUUUAUAAAAAUUGUUAAAAAUUUACUAUAAAGGCCAAUAACUCCUUAGGGGGUCAAUUGACCAUUUUGGUCAUGUUAGACUUAUUUUUAGGUCUUACUUUGCUGUAAAUAAUUGCUGUUUACAGUUUAUCGCUAUCUAUAUUAAUAUUCAAGUUAAUAACAAAAAACGGCAAAAUUUCCUUAAAAUUACCAAUUCAGGGGCAGCACUCUAACAACCCAUUGUCCAAUUCAUCUGAAAAU
rnacentral:lncRNA from 1 species